GUCCCCAUCGUCUAGAGGCCUAGGACAUCGCCCUUUCACGGCGGUAACCGGGGUUCGAAUCCCCGGGGGGACGCCA
rnacentral:tRNA from 1 species